rnacentral:rRNA from 1 species
AAACACGAGAGUUUGAUCCUGGCUCAGGAUGAACGCUGGCGGCGUGCCUAACACAUGCAAGUCGAGCGGGGUUUUACAAGAGAAACUCUUCGGAGA